rnacentral:rRNA from 1 species
GAUGAACGCUGGCGGCGUGCCUAAUACAUGCAAGUCGAGCGAACAGACGAGGAGCUUGCUCCUCUGACGUUAGCGGCGGACGGGUGAGUAACACGUGGAUAACCUACCUAUAAGACUGGGAUAACUUCGGGAAACCGGAGCUAAUACCGGAUAAUAUAUUGAACCGCAUGGUUCAAUAGUGAAAGACGGUUUUGCUGUCACUUAUAGAUGGAUCCGCGCCGCAUUAGCGAGUUGGUAAGGUAACGGCUUACCAAGGCAACGAUGCGUAGCCGACCUGAUGGGGUGAUCGGCCACACGGGAACUGAGACACGGUCCAGACUCCUACGGGAGGCAGCAGUAGGGAAUCUUCCGCAAUGGGCGAAAGCCUGACGGAGCAACGCCGCGUGAGUGAUGAAGGUCUUCGGAUCGUAAAACUCUGUUAUUAGGGAAGAACAAAUGUGUAAGUAACUAUGCACGUCUUGACGGUACCUAAUCAGAAAGCCACGGCUAACUACGUG